UGGGGAAUAUUGGACAAUGGGGGCAACCCUGAUCCAGCAAUGCCGCGUGUGUGAAGAAGGCCUUCGGGUUGUAAAGCACUUUUAUCGGGAACGAAACAUUGUCGGCCAAUACCCGGCAAGACUGACGGUACCCGAGGAAUAAGCACCGGCUAACUCCGUGCCAGCAGCCGCGGUAAUACGGAGGGUGCAAGCGUUAAUCGGAAUUACUGGGCGUAAAGCGUGCGCAGGCGGUUUGUGAAGUCUGCUGUGAAAUCCCCGAGCUCAACUUGGGAAUUGCAGCGGAGACUGGCAAGCUGGAGUACGGUAGAGGAAGGUGGAAUUACCGGGGUAGCAGUGAAAUGCGUAGAGAUCGAGAGGAACUCCAGUGGCGAAGGCGG
rnacentral:rRNA from 1 species